rnacentral:rRNA from 1 species
UAAGGAAUAUUGGACAAUGGAGGCAACUCUGAUCCAGCCAUGCCGCGUGAAGGAAUAAGGCCCUAUGGGUUGUAAACUUCUUUUAGACGGGACAAAACCCCUUUACGUGUAAAGGGUUGACGGUACUGUCAGAAUAAGCAUCGGCUAACUUCGUGCCAGCAGCCGCGGUAAUACGAAGGAUGCAAGCGUUAUCCGGAAUUAUUGGGUUUAAAGGGUGCGUAGGCGGACUAAUAAGUCAGUGGUGAAAGCCUGCAGCUUAACUGCAGAAUUGCCAUGGAUACUGUUAGUCUUGAGUACAGUUGAGGUAGGCGGAAUGUGUCAUGUAGCGGUGAAAUGCUUAGAUAUGACACAGAACACCGAUUGCGAAGGCAGCUUGCUAAGCUGUAACUGACGCUGAGGCACGAAAGCGUGGGGAGCAAACA